GUGAGGAGUAUAGGAAAAGGCUCAGGGAUAUAGUAGCAUGGUUUAAGAUAGUACAGACCUUGGCUGUUGAUUACUCUGGGUUCUAGUUCAGUGACCCUCUAGAGGGUGGGCCCAGAUUCCCCUACCAGCAACUGGAGAAGUGGCACAGUCUGGGCAGUAAAUGGAAAGAUUGCCUGAGACAGUUUGUAUGGAGAAAUUUUAAUACCCCAGAAGGGGAAAACAUGCAGUGACCUGGCUGGAGGGCCAAGCUACAAAAGAGGGAGCACCCCCCAGUGACCGAGAGGCUACAGGGUGUGCAAAUGAGUGAUGGAAGGGGGUAAUCCCCAGAGCAGCUAGGAGGAGAUGCCCUAGUGAAACCUUGUAAUAUGAUUGUUGGCAUCCCUUGAAGAACAACCUGAAAUAUUAGCUGUUACUUUCCUCAUCAUUGCCAGUGGCCAUCAGCUACACAAUACAGAAGUGAAAUAGUUUUCAGCAAUACCAAAAAUACAGUCCCUGGGACUUUCACAGAGAAGACACUGGUGUGAGUUAGCUAAGCCUGAGUGUACUCAUUUGCAAGCUGUGUUCACGCUAUGUGACCAGAUUUCAAGAUGAUGGCAUCAGAGCUGGGAAGUUAAGGGUUAAGGUCCCUUUCCUGAAAUCUGACCUGCACAGGAGGACCCUUGCACUUGGGCAGAGCCCCGCUGACAUAGCAAGGACAAAUGCUUCUGCCCAGAUGGAUCCAGUACUGUAUGAGGACUGGGACCUGAGGUUGCACGUCUCAAACAAGACUUCGUGAAGUGAAUUGUAAUCCUUACUUGCCCAGGUAAAUGGCUUGGCUACAGCCAUACUCAGUCAGUAGGAAAGGAAUGGGGAGGAGAUAAAGGAGGGUCAUAGAUGCUAUUUAAAACAGAGCUAAGCAGAUCAUGCUGGCAUUGAAAUGUCAGUGCUUGGCACGAAUGGAUACCUAAGGGGACUGGUAUCCUGCACUUGGCGGGGUCUCUCAGCAGGGGGAAAAGCAUCAUUGCUGAUCAUCUGCUGCUGUGGGGACCCACUGCUUGGGAUCAGGGAGGUAGCAGAGCUGCUGUCCUGGAAUACAGGUCACAUCUACAUUAUUCUUGGACUUCCCAGCCCCCCUCAGACCAGUGUUUUGUUUUGUUUUUUUUUCUAAAGUUGCUUUUGUCGUGCAAAACAUUCCAAAGUGCCAAGUGAGCAAGGUGGAUGGAUCGGAGCUAGAGCACGUAAAUACGGAGUCUACUUUCAGGAACCCAGAGAGAACAGGUCUCUCUUGAACACCGCCUACCUUUC